GGAUGUGAGGGUGAUCCAGCUGCAACAUCUGUCAUCUAGGUAGGUAGGCAUGUGACCCCUUCCUACCUCACUGCUCCAUGUGGGUCCCUCCCACAGCUGCAUGCUGGGUUGAAGAGUAUGACUUCCUCUGAGAAAGAGGAGGACUGUUUCCUGGGUAAGGGGUAUAUGAGUAGCUGUAUUCCCCUGAUAGAACCUCUAAACAGAUUCUCAGGAGGGUGUUUAAUUUCCAUGUUUUUGUGGUUUCUU
rnacentral:sRNA from 1 species